UGGGAACGUGCCUUUUGGUUCGGAACAACUGAGGGAAACUUCAGCUAAUACCGGAUAAGCCCUUACGGGGAAAGAUUUAUCGCCAAAAGAUCGGCCCGCGUCUGAUUAGCUAGUUGGUGGGUAAUGGCCCAUCAAGGCUACGAUCAGUAGCUGGUCUGAGAGGAUGAUCAGCCACACUGGGACUGAGACACGGCCCAGACUCCUACGGGAGGCAG
rnacentral:rRNA from 1 species